GUGCUUCCUUCACUUCCUCAGUGAAAUGGACAAAACACUGUACCUGAGGUUUGUUGCAAAACUGAAAUAAGUUGAUAAAUGACACACGUUCAAAAUUGCAGGGCAGGUAAGACAUGAGGCAGGUCAAAUUACCUGCCUCUACAAAUAGAUUAAAGAUGCAUCAGCAACACUGAAGAAAGAGACUUGAAGGAGGCUUGUUUUAGAAAGCAAGCAAAGAAAUAUUUUCCUUAACGCUGUACAUGGUGAGAAACUACAUAGCGUCCCAAUGACUUUCCAUCAAAGACUCCUGCAGAACUGGCAAAAUCUGUGUGACGUAAGUCAAUUACGAUUGAUUCACUGGAUCAGAUUAACUUGUGAACUCAGCACAUUCUAGGCAGUCGAGCACCCAGCCCUGCUGCAGAGUUUCAUGGGGCUCCCAGAGCAUGCCCUCCGCCAGAGUCAAUUCCCGCUUACCCUGCUCUCCCAAAGAUGGCAUUAACACUUCCGUUGUGUGUGCUGCCAUCUUAAAGCCAUUUCUCACAAACUUUGCACCAUUUGAUUCUCACAACCACCUGUAGGUAGGAUAACAGGACUGCAAAACAAGGGAAAUGAGACUCAGAGUGAGUAUUUUACCCAAAAUCAUUCAACUUGUAAGUGUCAGAGCCAGAACUCAGAUUCUCUGACUGUAUCUCAUGUUCUUUUAGCCCAUAAGGGAGGUCCUAGAACUUUAUUUGUUCCUUGGUUAUAGUAUUUACCAAGACUCUCUUCUUUUUUUUUUCUUUUUUCAUCUUUAUUGAGAUAUAACUGACAAAUAAAAUUGGGAAAGGCCAUCUACUUAUUCGUGUUUUAUAUUAAUGUACGAGAGAGAUGUCUUCCUGAAAGUGAAGCCCCAGGUCCCGUUCAUCUCUGGAGUCCCUCCCCCAGCAUUCGUACCAGUGCCUGGGAGAUCCGGCACUCAGGAUGUGUUUGGCUGUUUUAAUGUUUUAAACUACAAGUACAGCAUUUUAUCCGUCACAUCGCCUUGUUAAACAGGAGAACAAGAAAAGAGGCACCAUGACUGCACGAAAUAUGUGUCGAA
rnacentral:lncRNA from 1 species